GGGCAGUUAGCUCAGCUGGGAGAGCAUCUGUUUGACGUACAGAAGGUCAUAGGUUCGAGCCCUAUACUGCCCACCA
rnacentral:tRNA from 1 species